GCAAGUCGAGCGCCCCGCAAGGGGAGCGGCAGACGGGUGAGUAACGCGUGGGAAUCUACCCAUCACUACGGAACAACUCCGGGAAACUGGAGCUAAUACCGUAUACGUCCUUCGGGAGAAAGAUUUAUCGGUGAUGGAUGAGCCCGCGUUGGAUUAGCUAGUUGGUGGGGUAAUGGCCUACCAAGGCGACGAUCCAUAGCUAGUCUGAGAGGACGAAU
rnacentral:rRNA from 1 species